GAUGAACGCUGGCGGCGUGCUUAACACAUGCAAGUCGAACGGAAAGGCCCAAGCUUGCUUGGGUACUCGAGUGGCGAACGGGUGAGUAACACGUGGGUGAUCUGCCCUGCACUUCGGGAUAAGCCUGGGAAACUGGGUCUAAUACCUGAUAGGACCACAUUUUGGAUGGUGUGGUGGAAAGUUUUUCGGUGUGGGAUGAGCUCGCGGCCUAUCAGCUUGUUGGUGGGGUAAUGGCCUACCAAGGGGUCGACGGGUAGCCGGCCUGAGAGGGGGUACGGCCACAUGGGGGGGCAGAGACAGCGCCGAGACCGCCGGGGGGGGGAGGUGUGGGGAAGUGUAUAAUGGGCGCGGGAGUGUGACGCAGCCGCGGCGUGGGGGGGGUGGCGUUGGGGGGGUUAAAAAACUCUAUCGAGGGAGAAAGCGCUUGAGUGACGGUACCGGGUAAAGAAGCACCGGCUAACUACGUG
rnacentral:rRNA from 1 species